UCCCGGGCCUUGUACACACCGCCCGUCACACCAUGGGAGUGGGUUGCAAAAGAAGUAGGUAGCUUAACCUUCGGGAGGGCGCUUACCACUUUGUGAUUCAUGACUGGGGUGAAGUCGUAACAAGGUAACCGUAGGGGAACCUGCGGUUGGAUCACCUCCUUACCUAAGAGA
rnacentral:rRNA from 1 species